UGAAUACGAGACGCUAAGGCGUCGAAGUAGUGUAUGUCAUACUUCCAAGAAAAGCUUGCACUGUCAUAGAUAAAAAACGCCUGUACCAUAACCGACACAGGUGGGUAGGUAGAGUAUACUAAGGGGCGCGAGAUAACUCUCUCUAAGGAACUCGGCAAAAUAACUCCGUAACUUCGGGAGAAGGAGUGCCUUAUUCGUAAGGUUGCAAUAACAAGAUCCAAGCAACUGUUUAUCAAAAACACAGGUCUCCGCUAAGUCGUAAGACGAUGUAUGGGGGCUGACGCCUGCCCAGUGCCAGAAGGUUAAAGAAGUUGGUUAGCAAUUGCGAAGCUGAUAACUGAAGCCCUGGUGAACGGCGGCCGUAACGAUAACGGUCCUAAGGUAGCGAAAUUCCUUGUCGGGUAAGUUCCGACCCGCACGAAAGGCGUAAUGAUUUGGAUACUGUCUCGGAGAGGGGCUCGGUGAAAUAGACUUGUCUGUGAAGAUGCGGACUACCUGCACCAGGACAGAAAGACCCUAUGAAGCUUUACUGUAACUUGAAAUUGAAAUUGGACAUUAUUCGCGCAGUAUAGGUGGGAGGCGUUGAUUAUAAUCUUGUGGGAUUAUUGGAGCCAUCAGUGAGAUACCACUCUUGUAAUGUUAGAUUUCUAACUUUGAAUCAUUAUCUGGUCAAAGAACAGUUUCAGGCGGGCAGUUUGACUGGGGCGGUCGCCUCCUAAACGGUAACGGAGGCGUACAAAGGUUUCCUCUGAACGGUUAGAAAUCGUAUCUAGAGUGUAAAGGCAUAAGGAAGCUUGACUGUGAGACCUACAAGUCGAGCAGGGACGAAAGUCGGUCUUAGUGAUCUGACGGUACUGAGUGGAAAGGCCGUCACUCAACGGAUAAAAGUUACUCUAAGGAUAACAGGCUGAUCUCCCCCAAGAGUUCACAUCGACGGGGAGGUUUGGCACCUCGAUGUCGGCUCAUCGCAUCCUGGGGCGGUAGUACGUCCCAAGGGUUGGGCUGUUCGCCCAUGAAAGCGGUACGCGAGCUGGGUUCAGAACGUCGUGAGACAGUUCGGUCCAUAUCCGGUGUAGGCGUUAGAAUAUUGAGAGGAGCCUUCUUUAGUACGAGAGGACCGAGAAGGACAUACCUCUGGUGUACCAGUUAUCGUGCCAACGGUAAACGCUGGGUAGCUAUGUAUGGAGUGGAUAACCGCUGAAAGCAUCUAAGUGGGAAGCCCACCUCAAGAUAAGUAUUCUCAU
rnacentral:rRNA from 1 species